rnacentral:rRNA from 1 species
UACGGGGGGGCAAGCGUUGUUCGGAAUUACUGGGCGUAAAGGGCUCGUAGGUGGCCAACUAAGUCAGACGUGAAAUCCCUCGGCUUAACCGGGGAACUGCGUCUGAUACUGGAUGGCUUGAGAUUGGGAGAGGGAUGCGGAAUUCCAGGUGUAGCGGUGAAAUGCGUAGAUAUCUGGAGGAAUACCGGUGGCGAAGGCGGCAUCCUGGACCGGCAUUGACGCUGAUGAGCGAAAGCUAGGGGAGCAAACGGG